GUGGUCAAGCCCCGAAGGGCACGGGGGGGAUGCCUAGGCGUCGCCGGCAAGCUGGGCGUGGCAGGCUGCGAUAAGCUCGGGGGAGGGGCCGAACGCCCGUCGAUCCCGAGAUGCCCAGAUGCGACCCGGGGAACUGAAACAUCUCAGUACCCGGAGGAACGGAAAGCAACCGCGACUCCCUCAGUAGCGGCGAGCGAACGGGGACCAGCCUAAACCGUCCGGGACACCGGGCGGGGUCGUGGGGCCACUCAUGGGAUUUCGGUCCGACGGAGUCACAAAGACAGGAUGCAACCGAAGCCGCCUGGAACGGCGCACCACAGGGGGUGAAAGUCCCGUAGGUGACGGAUUCUGUCCUCCGAGAGUGGUACCCGAGUAGGGUCGGGCACGUGAAACCCGGCCUGAAUCGGCGGGGACCAUCCCGCAAGGCUAAGUACCGGGCGACGACCGAUAGUGAACCCAGUAGGGCGACCGAAUGGUGGGAAGAACCCCGACCAGGGGAGGACACUGAACCUGAAACCCCGUGCCUACAAGCGGUGGGAGGGCGACGAGCACUGCUCCGCCUGACCGCGUGCCUUUUGCAUAAUGAUCCGGCGAGUUCUGGUAUCCGGCCGGUUAACCCC
rnacentral:rRNA from 1 species